rnacentral:rRNA from 1 species
AGAGUUUGAUCCUGGCUCAGAUUGAACGCUGGCGGCAGGCUUAACACAUGCAAGUCGAGCGGAGAUGAGGUGCUUGCACCUUAUCUUAGCGGCGGACGGGUGAGUAAUGCUUAGGAAUCUGCCUAUUAGUGGGGGACAACAUUUCGAAAGGAAUGCUAAUACCGCAUACGUCCUACGGGAGAAAGCAGGGGAUCUUCGGACCUUGCGCUAAUAGAUGAGCCUAAGUCGGAUUAGCUAGUUGGUGGGGUAAAGGCCUACCAAGGCGACGAACUGUAGCGGGUCUGAGAGGAUGAUCCGCCACACUGGGACUGAGACACGGCCCAGACUCCUACGGGAGGCAGCAGUGGGGAAUAUUGGACAAUGGGGGGAACCCUGAUCCAGCCAUGCCGCGUGUGUGAAGAAGGCCUUAUGGUUGUAAAGCACUUUAAGCGAGGAGGAGGCUACUGAGACUAAUACUCUUGGAUAGUGGACGUUACUCGCAGAAUAAGCACCGGCUAACUCUGUGCCAGCAGCCGCGGUAAUACAGAGGGUGCGAGCGUUAAUCGGAUUUACUGGGCGUAAAGCGUGCGUAGGCGGCUUUUUAAGUCGGAUGUGAAAUCCCCGAGCUUAACUUGGGAAUUGCAUUCGAUACUGGGAAGCUAGAGUAUGGGAGAGGAUGGUGGAAUUCCAGGUGUAGCGGUGAAAUGCGUAGAGAUCUGGAGGAAUACCGAUGGCGAAGGCAGCCAUCUGGCCUAAUACUGACGCUGAGGUACGAAAGCAUGGGGAGCAAACAGGAUUAGAUACCCUGGUAGUCCAUGCCGUAAACGAUGUCUACUAGCCGUUGGGGCCUUUGAGGUUUUAGUGGCGCAGCUAACGCGAUAAGUAGACCGCCUGGGGAGUACGGUCGCAAGACUAAAACUCAAAGG